ensembl:snoRNA small nucleolar RNA SNORD113/SNORD114 family
UGGCCCAGUGAUGGUAUCUACCAGUUUAUGAGCCUCAGAUAAGGAAUAAAAUGUGUCUGCAAUUAUGAGGUCUGA